GACCUGCAACUCCAACAGAGGAGAGCUGAGGGAAGGCAGAAUCUCUCCCUAAGACUGCUUCUCAAAGGUUCCUCCCUGAGGGAAGGGAGGACCUGCCACAGAGACAGCCUGAGAGGGAAGUAUUCCCCUCUCAUAUGAGCUCUGGACUUUGGGAAAUGUUUUUAUUCAAGCUCUCAGAGAUACAAAAUGCAUAUUAUAAUCAACACCACAUGGGAAGUAAGGAGCAAAGAUCACGUUGAACCUGCAAGCUGAAAUCCCCAAAAGAUAUGUACUAAUCAUGUGAACUGCAAAGGAAAGGAUGGAAUGAAGCUUCCAAGCAAUUAUACCCCUCAUUAAAGAGCAAGGCACAUUUGCCAAACCACGUGUGAAAUAACCAGAACCAAAGACUUAAAGGGAAAAAAAAUGAAAUAUGUAACCAUUCUUGCCUAUGGCACCACUG